GAUGAACGCUGGCGGCGUGCCUAAUACAUGCAAGUCGAGCGAACGGACGAGAAGCUUGCCUCUCUGAUGUUAGCGGCGGACGGGUGAGUAACACGUGGAUAACCUACCUAUAAGACUGGGAUAACUUCGGGAAACCGGAGCUAAUACCGGAUAAUAUUUUGAACCGCAUGGUUCAAAAGUGAAAGACGGUCUUGCUGUCACUUAUAGAUGGAUCCGCGCUGCAUUAGCUAGUUGAUAAGGUAACGGCUUACCAAGGCAACGAUGCAUAGCCGACCUGAGAGGGUGAUCGGCCACACUGGAACUGAGACACGGUCCAGACUCCUACGGGAGGCAGCAGUAGGGAAUCUUCCGCAAUGGGCGAAAGCCUGACGGAGCAACGCCGCGUGAGUGAUGAAGGUCUUCGGAUCGUAAAACUCUGUUAUUAGGGAAGAACAUAUGUGUAAGUAACUGUGCACAUCUUGACGGUACCUAAUCAGAAAGCCACGGCUAACUACGUG
rnacentral:rRNA from 1 species